rnacentral:rRNA from 1 species
AUUGAACGCUGGCGGCAUGCCUUACACAUGCAAGUCGAACGGCAGCAUAGAAGAGCUUGCUCUUCUGAUGGCGAGUGGCGAAACGGGUGAGUAAAGCAUCGGAACGUACCGUGUAGUGGGGGAUAACGUAGCGAAAGUUACGCUAAUACCGCAUACGCACUGAGGUGGAAAGCAGGGGAUCGCAAGACCUUGCGCUAUACGAGCGGCCGAUGUCAGAUUAGCUAGUUGGUAGGGUAAAGGCCUACCAAGGCGACGAUCUGUAGCGGGUCUGAGAGGAUGAUCCGCCACACUGGGACUGAGACACGGCCCAGACUCCUACGGGAGGCAGCAGUGGGGAAUUUUGGACAAUGGGCGAAAGCCUGAUCCAGCCAUGCCGCGUGAGUGAAGAAGGCCUUCGGGUUGUAAAGCUCUUUCGGCUGGGAAGAAAUCGCACAGGCUAAUACUCUGUGUGGAUGACGGUACCAGCACAAGAAGCACCGGCUAACUACGUGCCAGCAGCCGCGGUAAUACGUAGGGUGCGAGCGUUAAUCGGAAUUACUGGGCGUAAAGCGUGCGCAGGCGGUUGUGCAAGACAGAUGUGAAAUCCCCGGGCUCAACCUGGGAACUGCAUUUGUGACUGCACGACUAGAGUACGGCAGAGGGGGGUAGAAUUCCACGUGUAGCAGUGAAAUGCGUAGAGAUGUGGAGGAAUACCGAUGGCGAAGGCAGCCCCCUGGGGCCGAUAC